CCUGAGAAACCCAAAAGAUCGAAUGGGGAGAUUCAUCGUCAGCGGUACUGGUACGUGUGCGGUUCGCGAUGUCGGAGACUUCGGUCUCGAGGCACGCGUCCGCAUGUUUUUUAUUGCCUGGUAUCGUCGGCGUGCACUUCUCCCCUAGUAGGACGUCGCGACCCGUUGGGUGUCGGUCUACGGCCCGGGUGGGUGCCUGUCUCGUGUGCGCUUUAUCGCGUCACUGCGGGGCAGACCCCCGGUUGCCUGACCGGCUGCCCGGCGGUACUCGCAAGGUAUCUAGCCGCAAAUAUUCGAACUGCGUCCGGCCCGUCGCAAGCGAGGCGAGUGUUCCCGAAUGUACGGAUCUAAUGCCGUCAUCGGGCCUAGCCAGCUGUUGGUUGACGGUGUCCUAGGACUGGCUAUAACAAUUAUGAUACCGGU
rnacentral:rRNA from 1 species